rnacentral:rRNA from 1 species
AUUGAACGCUGGCGGCAUGCCUUACACAUGCAAGUCGAACGGUAACAGGUCUUCGGAUGCUGACGAGUGGCGAACGGGUGAGUAAUACAUCGGAACGUGCCCGAUCGUGGGGGAUAACGGAGCGAAAGCUUUGCUAAUACCGCAUACGAUCUACGGAUGAAAGCGGGGAUCGCAAGACCUCGCGCGAGUGGAGCGGCCGAUGUCAGAUUAGGUAGUUGGUGGGUAAAGGCUCACCAAGCCAACGAUCUGUAGCUGGUCUGAGAGGACGACCAGCCACACUGGAACUGAGACACGGUCCAGACUCCUACGGGAGGCAGCAGUGGGGAAUUUUGGACAAUGGGCGCAAGCCUGAUCCAGCCAUUCCGCGUGCAGGAUGAAGGCCUUCGGGUUGUAAACUGCUUUUGUACGGAACGAAACGGCGAGCUCUAAUACAGUUUGCUAAUGACGGUACCGUAAGAAUAAGCACCGGCUAACUACGUGCCAGCACG